AACGAACGCUGGCGGCAUGCCUAACACAUGCAAGUCGAACGAGACCUUCGGGUCUAGUGGCGCCCGGGUGCGUAACGCGUGGGAACCUGCCCUUAGGUUCGGAAUAACUCCCCGAAAGGGGUGCUAAUACCGGAUAAUGUCUUCGGACCAAAGAUUUAUCGCCUUUGGAUGGGCCCGCGUUGGAUUAGCUAGUUGGUAGGGUAAAAGCCUACCAAGGCGACGAUCCAUAGCUGGUCUGAGAGGAUGAUCAGCCACACUGGGACUGAGACACGGCCCAGACUCCUACGGGAGGCAGCAGUGGGGAAUAGUGGACAAUGGGCGAAAGCCUGAUCCAGCAAUGCCGCGUGAGUGAUGAAGGCCUUAGGGUUGUAAAGCUCUUUUAACCGGGAUGAUAAUGACAGUACCGGGAGAAUAAGCUCCGGCUAACUCCGUG
rnacentral:rRNA from 1 species